UGGGGAAUAUUGGACAAUGGGCGAAAGCCUGAUCCAGCUAUGCCGCAUGAGUGAAGAAGGCCUUUGGGUUGUAAAGUUCUUUUAGUGAGGAAGAUAAUGACGGUACUCACAGAAGAAGUCCUGGCUAACUCCGUGCCAGCAGCCGCGGUAAUACGGAGAGGGCUAGCGUUAUUCGGAAUUAUUGGGCGUAAAGGGCGCGUAGGCUGGUUAAUAAGUUAAAAGUGAAAUCCCGAGGCUUAACCUUGGAAUUGCUUUUAAAACUAUUAAUCUAGAGAUUGAAAGAGGAUAGAGGAAUUCCUGAUGUAGAGGUAAAAUUCGUAAAUAUUAGGAGGAACACCAGUGGCGAAGGCGUCUAUCUGGUUCAAAUCUGACGCUGAAGCGCGAAGGCGUGGGGAGCAAACA
rnacentral:rRNA from 1 species